UACGAAGGGGGCUAGCGUUGCUCGGAAUCACUGGGCGUAAAGCGCACGUAGGCGGGUCCUUAAGUCAGGGGUGAAAUCCCGGAGCUCAACUCCGGAACUGCCUUUGAUACUGGGGAUCUUGAGUCCGGAAGAGGUGAGUGGAACUCCGAGUGUAGAGGUGAAAUUCGUAGAUAUUCGGAAGAACACCAGUGGCGAAGGCGGCUCACUGGUCCGGUAUUGACGCUGAGGCACGAAAGCGUGGGGAUCAAACAGG
rnacentral:rRNA from 1 species